rnacentral:rRNA from 1 species
AUNGACCUCGGAUCAGGUAGGGAUACCCGCUGAACU